rnacentral:rRNA from 1 species
AUUGAACGCUGGCGGCAUGCUUUACACAUGCAAGUCGAACGGUAACAGGGCGCUUGCACCGCUGACGAGUGGCGAACGGGUGAGUAAUGCGUCGGAACGUGCCGAGUAGUGGGGGAUAACGCAGCGAAAGUUGUGCUAAUACCGCAUACGUACUGAGGUAGAAAGUGGGGGACCUUCGGGCCUCACGCUAUUCGAGCGGCCGACGUCUGAUUAGCUAGUAGGUGAGGUAAAGGCUCACCUAGGCGACGAUCAGUAGCGGGUCUGAGAGGAUGAUCCGCCACCAUGGGACUGAGACACGGCCCAGACUCCUACGGGAGGAAGCAGUGGGGAAUUUUGGACAAUGGGCGAAAGCCUGAUCCAGCCAUGCCGCGUGUCUGAAGAAGGCAUUCGGGUUGUAAAGGACUUUUGUCAGGGAGGAAAUCCCUAGUGCUAAUAACACUGGGGGAUGACAGUACCUGAAGAAUAAGCACCGGCUAACUACGUGCCAGCCGCCGCGGUAAAAC